AGUCUUGGGCCAAAAGCCAUUUCGUAUUUUGUGUCUCGGAUGUCGGAUGCUGGAAAUUGGUUGGUUUACUGCAGUUGAGCCUUUGGUUAGUUGUUUAUGUUUUAAUAAUACUGGCAUAAUUUGGCGUUUGGAUUUAGUGGGCGAUUCGAUUCAAAUUACUCAGGUAAAUUAUGAAGCUUAUUGUGAAGAGUGAACAAGAUGAAGAAUAUGAAAUUGUCAUUCAUCCAGAUGACACAUUCAAUGAUGUACAAAAUCGACUCUUUGAAAAUAGAAGAGUUUUUGCUGACUUGGAAAAAACUGGCAAUGCCAAACAAGCCAUUCAGUUUGUCAGAAAAUGUAAUGAACUAUUUUGGAUGUUUACAAAAAUCUAAUCCAGAUAGUUUGGUGAAAACUCAAUAUACUCAUGAUUUAAUUGAACAUUUCAUCCCAGAUCGUUGUGACAGUUUUAGAAACACUGAAGAAAAUGUUUUGGGUGAUAAUUUUACCAAGCAAGAAGCUAGAGGACAUUUGUGGGGUGAAUUAGAAUUACGAAAUUAUGAGGUAGAUUAUAAGGAUAGUGUUGUCGAAAAUAAUUUUCCUGGUGUCGAUGAAGCAGCCUUCAAAUCUCAAGAUUUAAAAGAACGUAAAAUAAAGUACAAACACUUACAAGGAAGGCGAAGAAAAAGUCAGAUCUAAAGAUGAGGAAUACAAAGCAGACAACCAAAUUUCUGAGGAAAAUCAGUUAAAAAUAGAAGUUUUGCAACAUAAAACAAGUCAAAGUUCUGAUGAACUAGAAGAGGUUUUUAGAACUGAAGAUUUAGAAGAUAAGACAAAACACACAAUUUCUCAAGAAGACAAAGAAAAUGAAGCACUUAUAAUUGAAAAUUUAAAAAAUAAAGCAGAACCUCAAAUUUCUGAGGAUGGAGAAGAAGGAAUAUUUGUGAGUGAUCAGAUCAAUUUAGACAAUAUAUUUUUCCCAGACGAUCUACUCUCAGAGCCAAUGCCACUGUGCAGGCUCUGUGCCCAGGAAAUUUGUAAUGAUGAAUUGGCUUAUAUUCACGAUGUUGCCUCUAGUGACGGAACUACCUUAGCUGACAAGAUAAAUGCCUGUCUACCGAUUACUGUGAGCCUGAAAGACAAACUGCCCAAGCAAGUUUGUUCAGAGUGUCUAAUUCGGCCUGGACUAUAGCUACACGUUCUCGCAGAGUGUCAUUUUAGCAGAGGAAGCACUUCACACCUUACAACUAAGGUAAUAACCUGUCGCUUUAUACUAAAACCCAUAGCUUGUAUUAUUUUUGGACAGUGGUACAUCAAUACUGACAUAUCAUUCACAUGGGAAAGUAACUAAGCAGGUAACCUACGCUUGGAAAUCUUUGCCCUUGGAAUAUCUGCAGGGAAAUCUAAAAUCUAAGAAUACAGUCAAUAAUAUCACUGUACAUCCGAGAAGUGGUGAUAGUAAAGAAUUGCUCUCCGACACCACGAUUUUGCACAGCUAUACCACCAGGAAUAAAUCCCAGUACACAACCUUCUUUUACGCCACCUUUCAUUAUAUGAAAAGAAGCCAUCCUAUAUCGGCUCAAAAUUGUCAAACCAUUUACCAGUUGAAAUAAGAAAUCUCUGAGGGAAGAUGCUCAAGAGGAAAGCUAGACAAUUGGUUAUCAUAGAAACCUUUCUACUCACUGUUAGAGUAUCUAUAUCAUGAAGACAACUAAAAUGAUUAUAACACUAACUCAUAUAAAUAUUUUUAUGCAUUUAUGACACUAUCACAACUUUUGAUGCUUUGUGAAUAAAGAAUAGUGUGGUUUAAAAUUUAUUGAAUGCAUAUUUAAGACUAUAUUAUAUGAGAGAUACAUCCAUUGUCAAA
rnacentral:lncRNA from 1 species